rnacentral:rRNA from 1 species
GACAAACGCUGGCGGCGUGCCUAACACAUGCAAGUCGCACGUCCUCACGGGUUUCGGCCCGCGAGGGAGUGGCGGACGGGUGAGUAACACAUGGGUGACCUACCCUCCAGUGAGGAAUACCGGCGCGAAAGCGCCGACAAGACCGCAUAGGCUUGCCUUGCUCAGCCCAGGCAAGCAAAGCCGCAAGGCGCUGGAGGCGGGGCCUGUGGCCGAUUAGCUGGCUGGUGAGGUAAUGGCUCACCAGGGCGACGAUCGGUAGCUGGUCUGAGAGGACGAG